GAUGAACGCUGGCGGCGUGCCUAAUACAUGCAAGUCGAGCGAACAGACGAGGAGCUUGCUCCUCUGACGUUAGCGGCGGACGGGUGAGUAACACGUGGAUAACCUACCUAUAAGACUGGGAUAACUUCGGGAAACCGGAGCUAAUACCGGAUAAUAUAUUGAACCGCAUGGUUCAAUAGUGAAAGACGGUUUUGCUGUCACUUAUAGAUGGAUCCGCGCCGCAUUAGCUAGUUGGUAGGGUAACGGCUUACCAAGGCAACGAUGCGUAGCCGACCUGAGAGGGUGAUCGGCCACACUGGAACUGAAACACGGUCCAGACUCCUACGGGAGGCAGCAGUAGGGAAUCUUCCGCAAUGGGCGAAAGCCUGACGGAGCAACGCCGCGUGAGUGAUGAAGGUCUUCGGAUCGUAAAACUCUGUUAUUAGGGAAGAACAAAUGUGUAAGUAACUAUGCACGUCUUGACGGUACCUAAUCAGAAAGCCACGGCUAACUACGUG
rnacentral:rRNA from 1 species